rnacentral:rRNA from 1 species
CAGCAGCCGCGGGAAUACGAAGGGUGCAAGCGUUAAUCGGAAUUACUGGGCGUAAAGCGUGCGCAGGCGGUUUGUUAAGACAGAUGUGAAAUCCCCGGGCUCAACCUGGGAACUGCAUUUGUGACUGGCAAGCUAGAGUGUGGCAGAGGGGGGUGGAAUUCCGCGUGUAGCAGUGAAAUGCGUAGAUAUGCGGAGGAACACCGAUGGCGAAGGCAGCCCCCUGGGCCAACACUGACGCUCAUGCACGAAAGCGUGGGGAGCAAACAGGAUUAGAGACCCCUGUAGUCCCUGUCUCUUAUAA